rnacentral:lncRNA from 1 species
GCAACCGUUGGUAUUACAUUUUGAUUUCAGCUCAGCUCUAAGCCUGCUGCCAGCAGCAGUCGGUGCUGCACCACUGGAAGCGGCCAGCAGCAGUGCCGUUCGUCUCUCCAACAGAGCUUGGGCCAUGGCGGCUCGGUUGGCCUGCAGCAUCAGGAAUGAAACAUACAUACAAAUAUACAUACAUACAGCCAUGAGGUAAGGUUUACCAUAGCGCUUUGCUGGUACAGCGCGCUAUGUCCAUGCAAUUGCUUAGAAUACAGUACGCAAGAUUUUCAGUACAUACAUCCACCCCCUUCCUUUAGCCUGCGGUCUCAGGGCAUCUUGCGAGACUACUAGUAGCAAACAAGCCUCUGCUGCUGACGGUGUAUUGGGUGCACAAAUAAGCAAAUCCAUGGCCUCGAUUCCAACCCUCAUGACUAGGAUUAGGGGCAAAGCAUGCAUGCUUCAUCAUGGAUCACGAGCAAGAAUCCGACCGUUGAAAUAUAGAAGACCGUGCCAGCAACCCCAAUAAGCUCGUGAUCAUCAAUUACCAGAGGAGCAGAAACAGCUCGAGCGACGCAACGUGUCGAAAAGGCAAUCAACAGCUAGGUAAAGCAUGCUCAUGAUCCUGUCCGCUGCUGUCCUUGCACGCACCUCAGCUGUGGUGGUGGUACCGCCUCUUGAGUUUGCAUUGGCAGACGAUGCGUCAGUGCCGGCCGCAGGUGUGGGCAUCAUACCGAAAGCCGUGCUUGAAAGUGAAUCCUGCUGACGAUGUUCCGCUGAUGCCGCUGAUGAUGGUGAG